UUCUCCUUCAGGCCCAGACCCGUCCUGGCCGCCCGGAUUCCACCGCCCAGGCAAGAAGCGCCUCUCUGCCCAGCGACCCUUUCUUACCCUUUCUUUCUGGGUUUUGUCACAGAGGAAUUUUUAUUCCGGCGGUUCAGAGCGGUGGGGGUAGGUGGCCCCAGGGUGGUGGGGUGGAUGUCAGUGUGUGAAGGAGAAAAGAUGGGAAGGAAGGAAAGGGAAACGUUAGGCCUUCCAUUCCUGGAGCCAUUCCAUCCUGGAAUCCAAGGCCAAUGAAGGAGGUGAUUCUUCACCACAACAAGGCACCCAUCUCUCCGGACUCAGUAGCCACACUCUCCUGGGACAUAUCUGCUCCUCCUUUCCUGGGAAUGUGUUCUCUUGCUUUUCCCAAGAAGGCGGUCAACUCUUCCACAGAAAGAGCCACAGUUUUAUUCCCUAAAGGUAUGGCAUCCUCAACAUUACCGAGUGGGUUGUACCAAAUUAGCAUCUCUCUUGCGCUCUCUUCUCCCUCUCUCUCUCUCCUCUCUCGAUUCCCCAGGCUCUUAGCAGACACCGCUGCUUCUUUGAGGAAGGGGGGAGGCUUUCUGGAAUCCCUUCGGAAGGGCACGAAUCCUGUUUGUUUUGUUCUGUUUAGCUUUCUGAGGAGAAAACACUGAUUUCAGGGUAUAUGCGUGUGUGGUUGAAAAAGUUUCCUCCUGCCCUAGCUGGUUUGGCUCAGAGAAUAGAGUGUCAACCUGUGGACUGAAGGGUCCCAGGUUUGAUUCUGGUCAAGGGCACAUGCCCG